rnacentral:lncRNA from 1 species
AGGGAAAUUUUUGCGUGCCAAUCAGCUCAUUGUGCCAUGAGUUGACUCAUGAGUCGACUCAUGCACUUCAAACAUUCAUAACUUCAAAAAUAUAAGUCCAAAAAUAAUGAAAUUUUCAUCAAUAGAUUACAAAUCAUUUGUUCUACCAAAUGAUACUAUCAAAUCAGGAUUUUAGUAAAAUUAUGAUUUUGCCCCUGAAGAGCAUAAAGACUUUUUCAAUUUAAAAAUAUUUGUAUCCCUUCAAUCUGCUUUGUAAUCAUCAAAAUCAAUCUAGGAGCA